rnacentral:lncRNA from 1 species
UUUUUGAUUUUAUUUAGUUUUCAUUCUUCGUAUUCUUUAUUUUAAUUAAAUUUUUCUUCUUUUCUUCUUUCGGCAUUUGGCCAAAUCCUGACUAAAACUCUUGUUUUUCUUUUCUUUAGUUAACUCUAACCUGAUGGCACAUAUUGACCGCAUGGGUAUCAAAUUCAGAGGGAUAGCUUAGAGGCAAAAAUUUGAAGAACUUUCUGAGAGAGAGAUGCACCCAACCUUCUAUGCUGAUGAAGAUGCAAUGAUCGUACUUGGGCUAAG